rnacentral:ribozyme from 13 species
CAUAUAAACAGUUACUGGAGGCAAGUUUGAACGAGAGUGCCACAGCUGGCAGAGAGAUAACAUUCCGCUUGACACAAGUGGAUUUUGCUCCGGAGGAGCGGCAAGAAAGGUUGCAACGGUAUUGGAAGAGAGUCGUGAAUGCUAACGUGCAGAAAUGGCAAGCC